AACGUAGGAGCCUAGCGUUAUCCGAAUUCACUGGGCGUAAAGCGCGUGUAGGCGGCCUGGUAAGUUGGGUGUGAAAUCUCCUGGCUCAACUGGGAGAGGUCGCUCAAGACUGUCAGGCUAGAGGACGGUAGAGGGAGGUAGAAUUCCCGGUGUAGUGGUGAAAUGCGUAGAUAUCGGGAGGAAUACCAGUGGCGAAGGCGGCCUCCUGGACCGUUACUGACGCUCAGACGCGAAAGCUAGGGGAGCGAACGGG
rnacentral:rRNA from 1 species